CAAUAGCGUAUACUAAUGUUGUUGCAGUUAAAAAGCUCGUAGUUGAACUUCUGGUAGGAGUGUCCCGGCCUUUUUGUUUUUACAAAUUGUAUGCUGUGUGACAUCUCUGGCCAUCCUUCUUCUUUGUUUAAAGAAGAUCUUUCACUGUAAAAAAAUUAGGGUGUUCAAAGCAAAAGUUUCUUUGGAAUAUAUUAGUAUGGGAUGAUAAGAUAGGCUCUAGAUGCUAUUUUGUUGGUUUGCACAUUUAGAGAAUGAUUAACAGGGACAGUUGGGGGUAUUCGUAUUUACAUGUCAGAGGUGAAAUUCUUGGAUUUUGGAAAGACGAACUACUGCGAAAGCAUUUAUCAAGGAUGUUUUCAUUAA
rnacentral:rRNA from 1 species